AACGAACGCUGGCGGCAUGCCUAACACAUGCAAGUCGAACGAGACCUUCGGGUCUAGUGGCGCACGGGUGCGUAACGCGUGGGAACCUGCCCUUAGGUUCGGAAUAACUCCCCGAAUGGGGUGCUAAUACCGGUUAAUGUCUUCGGACCAAAGAUUUAUGGCCUUUGGAUGGGCCCGCGUUGGAUUAGCUAGUUGGUAGGGUAAAAGCCUGCCAAGGCGACGAUCCAUAGCUGGUCUGAGAGGAUGAUCAGCCACACUGGGACUGAGACACGGCCCAGACUCCUACGGGAGGCAGCAGUGGGGAAUAUUGGACAAGGGGCGAAAGCCUGAUACAGCAAUGCCGCGUGAGUGAUGAAGGCCUUAGGGUUGUAAAGCUCUUUUACCCGGGAUGAUAAUGACAGUACCGGGAGAAUAAGCUCCGGCUAACUCCGUG
rnacentral:rRNA from 1 species